UGGCCAAUGAUGAUAUCACUUAAUAUUCAUACCAUCUUUCGGGACUGAAUGGCUUAUUUGCCUUGCUGUUACAUUCUGCAAUUCUGAGGCUUUUUAUUUAUUUAUUUAUUUAUUUUCAUCUAUAGUUUUUUAUUUAAAAUAUUGAAAAUGAGGUUGAGAGUUUGAUAUGUUUUUAUGUUUUUUAGAUGUAACUAUUUUUUGUGUAAGCAUGUGUUUAUGUAGUUAGUGGCCAAUGAUGAGAUCAGAUAACAUAUUAACCAUCUUUCGGGACUGAAUGGCAUUUUUAAUGCCUUGCUGUUAUUUCUGCAUUUCUGAGGCUU